rnacentral:tRNA from 1 species
GCCGCUUUAGCUCAGUUGGUAGAGCAACCGCCUUGUAAGCGGUAGGUCCACAGUUCGAGUCUGUGAUGCGGCACCA